CUCCUCACCUCACCUUGUCUCGUGUUCCCUUUUGACAGGUAAUCCCCUCCUCACCAUCUCUGUUGCCGGGCCAGGGUUCCGCCGAUCCCCCAAGGUGCAACUCCCGGCCAUGGGGAAGCGCCAGCAGCCGGAGGCGGCCGAGCAGCCCAUGGCGCCGGUGCGAGGCCCUGCCCUCCUCACCAUCUUGUGAAUGGUGCAGGCCCCGAAGCGAGGCGGCAAGGCGCCGGUGUCGCGAAGAAGAAGGCGGCGUACAAGGUGGUGAACCCGCUGUUCGAGAAGAGGCCGAAGCAGUUUGGAAUCGGUGGUGCCCUGCCGCACAAGAAGGCCCAAGAAGGACCUCCACUGGUUCGCCAAGUGGCCUGAGGUCGUGCGCAUCCAGCGCCAGCGCCGCAUCCUCAAGCAGCGCCUCAAGGUGCCCUGGCACUCCACUAGUUCACCCGUACCCUCGACAAGAACCUCGAUGCACAGGAGCUCUACGAAGAAGAACCCCGAAGAAAAACCACACCCAGCAAUGCGUUUUAGCCCACUGGAGCUAGUUAUGUGUAUAUUUAGUUGUAUUUUAUAGCUGAAAACCAGAUCUGUACUAUGUAUGAUUGUAAUGUACUUUGCUUGGCUGUUGUAUAAAAUAUGAUGCCUUAU